rnacentral:tRNA from 1 species
GUGCCUGUAGUUCAGUGGUAGAGCGCCAGAUUGUGGAUCUGGUUGUCGUGGGUUCCAUCCCCCCCAGGCACC